AAUUAAUGAGCUUGUUAAAGCAUUUGUUUUGAAAACUUAAAAAAGAAUUUUAAUAAUUCUAUUAAUUU
rnacentral:tRNA from 1 species